rnacentral:ncRNA from 1 species
GAGAGCCGUAUGAUGGGAAACUAUCACGUACGGUUCGGGAAAGGGGUAAUGGCGCCCAAGAUAGAGUACGGAGUCACCAAAACUCACAUAAAUAGAUAGCGCGUCGUUAAUUAGAGUCUCCACCUGAUUAGUCGUCAACGUUACGGCGAGUGGUUAUUACAGCUUCUCUCUUCUUGGAUUUCAUUACUCUAGUUCAU